rnacentral:lncRNA from 1 species
UCCUUUGUUGAUAAGAAGACAGGAUUUAUGAACCAUACCACAUUGCCAUGUGGAGGAUAGGGUUUGCUCUCACCACACCAUUUCCACAAGCCUCUCCUCACCUAUAUCAUUAACUCUUCACUCUUCACUCAACCCUCAAUCUCAUUAAUCAGUGUCCAUCUACCUUACCUACCAAGCUCUCUCAACAUAAUGGCAGCCACCUUAUCAGGCACCAUGGUCAGCACCUCCUUCCUCCGCCGCCACUGUCCAUCUACCUUACCUACCAAGCUCUCUCAACAUAAUGGCAGCCACCUUAUCAGGCACCAUGGUCAGCACCUCCUUCCUCCGCCGCCACCGCCCCGUGGCCACCAGCCUCAAGUCCAACGUGGGCCAGGCCCUCUNACCGCCCCGUGGCCACCAGCCUCAAGUCCAACGUGGGCCAGGCCCUCUUCGGCCUCAAGUCCUCCAACAUGCAAGGCGGCAGAAUCACAUGCAUGGCCACCUACAAGGUCACUCUCCGGACCCCUGAUGGUGAGGUCGAGUUCGAGUGUCCUGAUGAUGUCUACGUUCUCGACCAGGCUGAGGAGCAAGGAAUCGAUAUUCCUUACUCGUGCAGGGCGGGCUCGUGCUCGUCCUGCGCGGGGAAAGUGGUGUCUGGCUCGAUUGAUCAGAGUGAUCAGAGCUUUCUUGAUGAUGAGCAGAUGGAUAGUGGGUAUGUGCUCACUUGUCAUGCUUACCCUACUUCUGAUGUCAUCAUUGAGACUCACAAGGAGGAGGAGAUUGUGUAAUUUAGUUUCGUGGUAAUGUCGUGUCGGAUAUUUGGAUACUCUGUCAUGUUUUGUUUGAGUUAUGUAUUUCAUUUCUAAUGGAGGGUGAAAUUGUAAUGUUUAAUUCUCGGACUCAGAUUAUAUAUAUAUGAAAUUAAUAACAUAUUAUCUUGUUGAAUUGGUUAUGUUUUGGUUCAGUUCGGACGGGUAAUGUUCUUGUUGAUGUUUUGGAAUGUAGUUUUUCUUUGAUUCUAUUCAUAAUUAGGCUGUAUUUCACAGUAUAUGUAUGGGUUUUAAAGCAUAUUCUAGAGAAAUAAGUGUUUUAGACAGUUGUUUGCUAAGGAUGAGUGCUUUUGUAUUGCUGCAGAACUCAAACUGUUAUUAUAUGGCUUAUACAUCCUUUUCUCAUAAUAUUCAAAAUAUGGCUUACCGUAAGAAUAACAUGUGAACGUAAAAGAUUUAUACCAGAGCACUGGUUAUAAGUAAACAGUAUGAUAAAGCCCUGUUCUGGAAUAAUAAAAUAAAUAUAAAAUACAAUUUAAAUAUAGGAAAAUAGAUUUUUUCGCCAACCAACUUAAUACGUAUUUAGAAAUUUACCACUAAACUAUAAUUUCUUUUCUUUUUGUCACUAAUUUUAGGUUUGGAUUUGUUUUUUGUCACUAACGUUAGAUUCAGAUUUGAUUAUUAACACUACAUUAUUCUUUUUAGCAUUAUUAUAAUAUAAUGUUAGUCCCCAAUAUUAUGGUAAUAGAUAUGUGUUCAAAUCUUUACAUGUAGUACUUCAUAUGUGCGGUAGUUUAUCUUGCAGGACGAUAGUUUGACACGCAAUGUAAUACUCAAAUUUAAUGUUAGUGACGUAAAAAAAUACAAACCUAACAUUACUGAUAAAAAAGAAAAAAAUUAUACUUAAUGGUAAGUUUCAAAAUACACAAUAAAUUGAGUGGCGAAAAAAUCUAUUUUCACUAAAAUAUUAAUAUGAAAUUUUUAUAUCCAAUAGCAAAACAGGCCACAUGAAUAUAAAAACAAGAAAAUUUUUAAGCCACAUGGUCAGUUAUAAAAGAAGAGCAAAGCCACAGAGCAGCUCAUCAGAUGCAAACAAAGAAGAUAGGAUAAGAUUUCCUUAUCAACUUGCAUUCACUCUCGGAAAACCAUCAUUCCAUUCAAGAUGGCUGCAUUAACAACCCUCUCCGCCACAAUGCUCAGCACCACCUUCUUAAACCGCCAUCAACCGGUUGUCACCAGUCUCCGAGCCAACACGGGUAGAUCCCUCUUUGGGCUCAAGUCAUCCGGCCGAGGCCGGGUGACUUGCAUGGCUUUUUACAAAGUGAAGCUGAUAACACCAGAAGGUGAGCAUGAAUUCGAGUGUCCAAGUGAUAUUUACAUUCUCGACCAUGCUAUAGAGGAGGAGAAUAUCGAUCUUCCCUACUCUUGCAGAGCCGGGUCAUGCUCUAGUUGUCUUGGAAAAGUUGUUUCAGGCUCAGUGGAUCAAACUGACGGGAGCUUUCUUGAUGAUGACCAGAUGGAGGCUGGUUAUGUUCUCACUUGUGUGGCUCAUCCUACCUCUGAUGUAACAAUUGAAACCCACAAGGAGGAGGAUAUUUUCGAGCCGUUUGGACAAGUUUAAAAAAAGUGAUUUCUUGCUUAAAAUAAAGAAGUGUUUGAAAAAGAAGUAAAAGCUUUGAGUAGAAGUUAACUUUCUCAGCUUCUUAAAAGUGCUUCUACUUGUUUAAAUAAACCGGUCAAAAAAAGCAGAAGACGAAAGCAGCUUCUGCUUCUUAAAAAAACAUGCCCUUUUUAAAUAUCACAAUCCAUCAUCGUCUGUUUGGUUUUUGCUAAUUUCUUUGCUUGUCCUGUGUAUGUACUCUGCUUUUUUACUAAAUAUGUUUGAUUUCAUUCAAAUUAUGCAUGACAGUUUGAACAUCUUUAAUAGGCUUAAUGCCAACGCUUAAUGUUUGGGGCUGUGUAUUGAUGCAGCCUCAAUGUUUUUAACUCGGUUGAUUCAACCCUCAAAGUAUUCAAUAUAUUCCGAAUAACCAUCAUAUACCGGUAUAAAGCCAAAAAAACAGUAAUAUAACAAAGGGUAUUAACAUUGAGGGUUAAAAGGGCAUUUAGCCACUUAGCAAAAAAAAAAAAAAAGGGCAUUUAGCCACCAAUAAAAAAAAAUUACUCCUGGCAGGCCUAAGAAAAAAAGGAGAAAAAAAAAUGAUGUGAUCUAAUCCAGAGAAGAUAACUCAAACAUGUUGAAGAGAAAAGGAACUAGUCUAAGGUGCUCUAAUUGUGGUGAGUGGGAACACAAUUUCACAAGCUAUCCUAAAGAGGUGUAACAACAUAUCUCUACUGAUCCCAUAUUUUAUCAUAUACUACAUCACACUGCAACUACUGUAAUAUUUAUUUUCCUAACUGAAAAAUUGCUGGGAACAAAGAAGAUGGGAAGAAAGAAGAUGCCUUCAAAUGGAAAGAAGAAGCCUUCUUAAACCGCCAGUGAAUUAUAUCCUCCUUAUCAACUGGCAUUCCAUUCAAGAUGGCUGCAUUAAAAACCAUCUCCACCACAAUGCUGAGCACCACCUUCUUGAACCGGCAUCAACCAGUUGUCACCAGUCUCCGAGCCAACACUGGUAGAUCCCUCUUCGGGCUCAAGUCAUCUGGCCGAGGCCGGGUGACUUGCAUGGCUACUUACAAAGUGAAGUUGAUAACACCAGAUGGCGAGCAUGAAAUCCAGUGUCCAGAUGAUAUUUACAUUCUCAACCAUGCUCCACCACAAUGCUCAGCACCACCUUCUUGAAUCCAAUCUCAUCAACCUUAUUGAUGACUCGUCAAGAAGGUAGAAAUUUGUAAGGCUGAAUUCAAAACGAAAGAAAGAGCAAAAGAAAAGAGUUGAACCAUAUCACAUUGCCACCGGGCGGAUAGGGUUUGCUCUCACCACAAGCCUCUCCUCACCUAUAUCAUUAACUCUUCACUCUUCACUCAACCCUCAAUCUCAUUAAUCAGUAUCCAUCUACCUUACCUAUCCGGAUACCCGGAUGCAUGGCCACCUACAAAGUCACUCUCCGGACUCCUGACGGUGAGGUCGAUCGAGUUCGACUGUCCUGAUGAUGUCUACGUUCUCGACCAGGCUGAGGAGAAAGG